rnacentral:lncRNA from 10 species
CUUUCAUUAUGAUUUUGGCAAAGCCAUUUUGUUUGCUUACAUUUUUCACUUUUAAUGUGGUGUCUGGCCUCCCCCUCUGACCGAGACAAGCAUGGCUGCAGAGUGCAGACGGGGAGGUGGCCCCGGGCAGCAGCCAUGAACGUGGCCUCCCCACUGACGCUGAGCCAUGGCUCCCUUUUUUCAGUAAAAUAUAAGCAGUAAUAGAGCCGAUCUCCUUGAGUUUUUGUGAGAAUUAAAGAAUACAUUUUAAAGAAUUGAGGAGAAUUUUUGGGACAGUGUGAGCAUUCAGUAAAUUUUAGUUGUAGUGGCCAUCACAACGUGGCUUUUAAGCUCUCUUACAAAAAAAGAAACAUCAGCAUCCUGUUUGGCACAGUUACUUUUCUGCACAAGAGGCUGCCUGGGUGG